rnacentral:rRNA from 1 species
UGGGGAAUAUUGCACAAUGGAGGGAACUCUGAUGCAGCGACGCCGCGUGAACGAAGAAGGCUUUCGAGUCGUAAAGUUCUUUUAUAUGGGAAGAUAAUGACGGUACCAUAAGAAAAAGCCCCGGCUAACUACGUGCCAGAGCCGCGGUAAUACGUAGGGGGCUAGCGUUGUCCGGAAUCACUGGGCGUAAAGGGUUCGCAGGCGGAAAUGCAAGUCAGGUGUAAAAGGCAGUAGCUUAACUACUGUAAGCAUUUGAAACUGCAUAUCUUGAGAAGAGUAGAGGUAAGUGGAAUUUUUAGUGUAGCGGUGAAAUGCGUAGAUAUUAAAAAGAAUACCGGUGGCGAAGGCGACUUACUGGGCUCAUUCUGACGCUGAGGAACGAAAGCGUGGGUAGCAAACAGG